rnacentral:rRNA from 1 species
UUGGAGGGCAAGUCUGGUGCCAGCAGCCGCGGUAAUUCCAGCUCCAAUAGCGUAUAUUAAAGUUGUUGCAGUUAAAAAGCUCGUAGUUGAAUUUCGGGAUCAAUAUAACGGUCAUGCCGUUGGUAUGCACUGUUAUAAUUGAUUUCUCACCUUCUAAAGAACCGUAAUGCCAUUAAUUUGGUGUCACGGGGAAUUAGGACUGUUACCUUGAAAAAAUUAGAGUGUUUAAAGCAGGCUCACGCUUGAAUACAUUAGCAUGGAAUAAUGAAAUAGGACAUCCGAUUCUAUUUUGUUGGUUUCUAGGAUCGAUGUAAUGAUUAAUAGGGAUAGUUGGGGGCAUUAGUAUUCAAUUGUCAGAGGUGAAAUUCUUGGAUUUAUUGAAGACUAACUACUGCGAAAGCAUUUGCCAAGGAUGUUUUCAUUAAUCAAGAACGAAAGUUAGGGGAUCGAAGACGAUCAGAUACCGGCGUAGUCUUAACCAUAAACUAUGCCGACUAGGGAUCGGAUGAUGUUAAUUUUUUAAUGACUCAUUCGGCGCCUUACGGGAAAC